rnacentral:rRNA from 1 species
AGCAGCCGCGGUAAUUCCAGCUCCAAUAGCGUAUAUUAAAGUUGUUGCAGUUAAAAAGCUCGUAGUUGAAUUUCGGGAUCAAUAUGUUGGUCGUGCCUCGGUACGUACUAGCUUAUUGGUUUCUCCUUUCUGAAGAACCAUGAUGUCAUUUAUUUGGUGUCGUGGGGAAUCAGGACUGUUACUUUGAAAAAAUUAGAGUGUUUAAAGCAGGCUCACGCUUGAAUACAUUAGCAUGGAAUAAUGAAAUAGGACGUUUGAUUCUAUUUUGUUGGUUUUUAGGAUCGACGUAAUGAUUAAUAGGGAUAGUUGGGGGCAUUAGUAUUCAAUUGUCAGAGGUGAAAUUCUUGGAUUUAUUGAAGACUAACUACUGCGAAAGCAUUUGCCAAGGAUGUUUUCAUUAAUCAAGAACGAAAGUUAGGGAUCGAAGACGAUCAGAUACCGUCGUAGUCU